rnacentral:rRNA from 1 species
UACAGAGGGUGCAAGAGUUGUUCGGAAUUAUUGGGCGUAAAGGGUGCGUAGGCGGUGCGGUAAGUCUGUAGUGAAAUCUCUGGGCUCAACUCAGAGUCUGCUAUAGAAACUGCCGUGCUUGAGUGUGGGAGAGGUGAGUGGAAUUCCCGGUGUAGCGGUGAAGUGCGUAGAUAUCGGGAGGAACACCUGUGGCGAAAGCGGCUCACUGGACCACAACUGACGCUGAUGCACGAAAGCUAGGGGAGCAAACAGG